rnacentral:rRNA from 1 species
UGGGGAAUAUUGGACAAUGGGCGAAAGCCUGAUCCAGCAAUGCCGCGUGAGUGAUGAAGGCCUUAGGGUUGUAAAGCUCUUUUACCAGGGAUGAUAAUGACAGUACCUGGAGAAUAAGCUCCGGCUAACUCCGUGCCAGCAGCCGCGGUAAUACGGAGGGAGCUAGCGUUGUUCGGAAUUACUGGGCGUAAAGAGUACGUAGGCGGUUAUUCAAGUCAGAGGUGAAAGCCCGGGGCUCAACCCCGGAACGGCCUUUGAAACUAGAUAGCUAGAGUCUUGGAGAGGUUAGUGGAAUUCCGAGUGUAGAGGUGAAAUUCGUAGAUAUUCGGAAGAACACCAGUGGCGAAGGCGACUAACUGGACAAGUACUGACGCUGAGGUACGAAAGCGUGGGGAGCAAACA